UUGCAAGCUGGAAGAGCAGAUGGAGUAAUUUAAUUCCUUCAAACUAUUGGAUUGGUGACAGGUAUUAUGUAGUGUAAGAGCAGAAAGUUCCAUCUGGUGUGCACAUUGGCUGCUACAAUGAUACUUAGCAUGGUAAAAUGAUGUCAAAACAGAUGCAAUAGCCAAGGCAUGAAAUUAAGGGUACAGAGAUCUUGAUCUUUAUGGACAUAUUUGCAAUUCAAAUUUGAAUUGAGAAAAGCCAACUCUGUCAAGAUCUAUAAAUUCAUCUUGUAAGGAGUAGACAAGUUCUGAGAGACCUGGAUUUGAACUUAGAAAUUCAGAGAAACUUCAGAUACAGGAGUUACAACAAAAUGAGUCACAAGCUAGAGUCAGGUAGUUGUGUUUGAAGUGCCGAACUUCUCAACUGGGUUGUUUGUGGAUAAUGAUGACACCAAUAUAAAAGAGGUGUAAAUAGUCACACUGCUGCUAAGAAUGGAGCCUGGAUCCUGACUGGGGCCUUUGGUGCUACCACAAUACAAAUACUAAAUAGUAACAAUAAUAGUAAUGCUGAUGCAAACAGGGAAAAAGGACUAAAAUUGCCAUUAAAAUGUUCAUAAUAAUUAACAGAACUGUACUCAGGAUAUUUGAAAUAAUUUGUACUCAUAUACAAUGCAACUACUCUGAACCUAGGCACUGAGGUUUGACCAGCAAAAUAUUUAAGAAUACGCUUAAUUUUAAGCAUGUGAAUAAUCCCAUUGAAGUUUUUCCUUUAUUCCCCUUAGUCCCAUUACUUUGCUGGAAUGGAGCCUAAGACACUAUGGUGUUGGGCACCAAUAUAAGACUCUAGAUGGAUAAGUAUAAUUUUAUGGCAUCAUAUGAAGCAAUAUAAGUAUAUGACACGAUUUUGGGGGAAGGUUAAGGGCAUGUUCCCAAAGGUGGGAGGGGAGAUGUAUGUGGAAAAGGGCUUUUCUAUUGCUUUGAUUUACUGUCUGGCUAAGAUCAUUUGUUACCGUUCAUGACUGUGAAAAGUGGCUGCUGGGCUGAAUUUUCAAAUGGCGUUAAAUGGUCAUUAUUAUGUUGUUGUAAGACUAUUUAAGCUAAGGGAGUUAGGCACCCAAAUCUCACUGCAUUUCAGUGGUGUUUGGACACUGAACUUCAUAUGCUUCUUUAAAACUCUCAGCCUUGACUGUCAGAAUGCCAAGAACUUUUCAUCUAGGUGGGCCUUUUUUUUUUUUUUUUUUUUACCCUAUUGAUUACAUCUAAGUAAAUAAGCACAUAUUUUCAGUUUCUAAGCUGAUCUGUUUUAUGCUCCUCAAACCUCUCACAGGUGUUUGCAUGAGCAUAUUUUUCAUUUCCGGAGAUGUCAGAAUGCUGUAGAGUAGCUAUAUAAAUGACAUCUACCAAAGUGAAUGGAAAGUGACUUCCUCUUCAUGCACUCUCUGGGUAAAAUUCAGACCUGUGCCUAGUGCCCACACAAGGCCCUAUGCACCACUUCAGCUCUGCACUACGGGCUUAAGUGGAACUUAAUGCGAAUGGCCGCCUCUGCACUGAGGUAAAUUAUGUCCUGUCUGCACAAUGGCAGCAAUAGAAUUAUUGUGCCGCAGAGUCUUUUCUGUAAUGCCUUAUGCACUUGUAGAUAGAAUUUCAGUUGCUAUUGAACGUUCAGGUACAGGUUUCUAAAGGAUUCUCUUCCCCCUCCCCAGUAUAUCUAUUGUAGCACAAAAUGUUUGGCCUUGUAUCUAAUGCAAACACUUGCUUAAUGUGCCUGUUGCUAUGGCUGCUGUAUCUGAUCCAUCUGUCUGACUCAUGCCCUUGAAUUAUCCUGUUUUCAGAGUUUACAUGAUCUAAAUUUUAUGAAAGGGACAGACAGCUCAAAAUGGAUCAAACUAUUCUGAUCAACUUUGUAUGCUUUGGGGCCUGCAGUGUCCAAACAAGGCGGGUGACUGCUUUUUGCUUCAGUGCUGCCAAAAAUCAUGUGGGAUAUGAUACAGAGCACACUGAGGUUAAUGAGAAUUUUUUUCUUGACUUCAGCUAGUUUUGCAUCACAACCAUAGUUUGUCCUUUGAGAGUGUAGCAAGAUGGAGAUACUUAAUGCGCUAGUAACUCCUGAUGAAAAAUACGAUUAGUCUCAUAGCACUGGAGAACUGUUUUAGAAGCAUUGAGUAUUUUCCCAUCUCUCCUCAAGAGCACACUGUAGAAUUACUGGAUUUGAAUGCCUAAUCAGAAGCAUAUAUUUCCACAUCUAAAUAAGAGACACUCUUUGACUCCGGUAUUUCUGGCUGCAGCAUUGGAUUCUUAGGGGAAAUCAAGAAGGUAUUUCUGCUACAGUGCAAUGUGUUAAAAUUGUAUUUAAAUAAAUCUGAAUGUACUGUGCAGGCAAUAUAUUUAAAAAGAAAACAAUCCACAAGAGGUCUUCAGCAUAGUACAUAAGUUAUUUAUAGAAUAUCUGAAAGUGCCAUACCUAGAUUAUAGAGCAUUCUAACAGAGAUAAGAAGCAAGAAUUCUGAGAGCUUUUGAACACCCUGGAGAUUUAGCAUUGGACCAUUUAUUACAAAGCUGUGUUUGAGUGAAGGUAAUACAUUAGGGAAAACUCAUAUCUGUUCUGGGAUAUGAAAUCCCACUUGCUGUGUGGUGUCGUAGUUUAAAUUUUGGUAUCCUGAUCUGUAAUAUACAUUAGAAAUGUACAAAAACUCAUACAAGACCUUGUAGAGAGGUUUUUCUUAUGUUGCCUGGUAUAGUCUAUAUAUCUACAUUUGCACUACCAUAUUUUAAGUAGGUUAAAAUAGGCUAAAAGGCUUAGAACAUAAUUAUAGAAGCACCCAAAAGGGAUUUAAACAUUGACAGAAAAGCUUACUUAAGUUGCUCAAUGCUAGCAUGUCAAGUGUUUACAUAAUUGUGAGAAGUUACAUAAUGGUUCUCUGUACUUGUUUGACUAUAUACGUCAGUAUUUUAACAGGUACAUACCUAAAAAACUACAGGUAAAAUUCUGCCAUCACAUACAUGCAUGCAACUCCCUUCGUAAUCAAUGAAAGUUUCAUUUGCUUUUGUGAGACAAGAAUGUACCUCCAUACAGUUUAUUAAAACAAGGCUGUGACGUGGCCAACAAUGAUAUGAAUAUGUUUCAUCUGAGGUAAAGCACUCUGCAUUCUAAGAGGUACCUAAACUUCAUCACCACAUCUGAGGACAAAUUAAUAUUCUCCAGUUUCCAAACAAAAAUCUUUCCUCUAGGAUGAUGAUGUAUUUUGCUGCCACCAGUGACACGUGACAGACUUUAAUUAAGCUUUACGAAGUAAGUAAGAUGUAAAACACCCUACAAAUAUGAGUUCUAUUCCAGCAUAGAACUAAUGGAAUCUUUAGUAGUCAUUUUCUGCAAAAUUACGUUCCUAAAUCAGUCUGGUAUAUCCUGCAUUGAUUUUAAGGUGUUUUGUUGUUGUUUUGUUUUAAAAUAGUGUUCUGAUUGUCCAAGAGUCAUGACAAUUCAUUUUUCCCAUCAGCUGAAUAAUCAUGGAGAUGAACUGUUAAUUUCUUGCCGAGUUUAUAUCACACAUCAGUAAAUUCUGAAAUUCUUCAUCUCAUGGAUUUUUAAUUGUCUGUUCCAUUUCAAGUUUGCAGUGUUGUUGUAGCUGUAUUGGUCCCCUCGCUCAUAUUCCAUUUAAGGAAAUUUUAAACGGUUGCUUAAAAAGAUGAUAGAAUUAGCUCUUCAUUUUAAAUUUAGCAUGACAUAUCCUCAUGCUGAUUUGUAGAGUUAACUAAGGUUAUCAUAAUAUACAUGUUGUUUUCUUUGAUGCCUUUUAGAAGGUGUUUCUAGAUGAAUAGAUUUAGCAGUAUAAGACUAAUGGUAGGCUUACACAGCAAAAGCUGAGCAGAUACUCAUGUAGGGCUUGCCUAUGCACAGCUUUUGCUGUGUAGGUGUACCUCAGUCAAUCAACUAACAAAUGUAAGCCUCUUGACUGAGCUGUAGUUAGCCAAAUAGUACCAGUGUCUAUUGGUGCAAAGCUUGAUUUUGAAAGAUGAGCACUUUUUGUGUACCACUAUAAAGAAAAAAAAUGUACACAGUGGUCCAGUUUCUGCUCUUAGAUAGAGCUCUGAAGAUCUGAGGCAUAAGCCUGUGCAUGGGGGGGAUUUUACAACCCUUACAUUUGUUGAAUGGUGUUAACUCAUGGAGUGAGUCAGUGCGACCACUCACGUAAGUAACCACUAAUCACUAAGUGAGGGUUGCGGAACCUGACACAGAGUGAAUCAGAGAUUUAAGGUAAAAUAGAGGAAUAACUUUAUUCUAGUUAGAAACAUUAACAGGGAUAAUUCCAAAACUAGGUCCAUGAGCUAGGGGUGGGGAAUUUAUGGCCUCACAGGAUUUGCUGCUCACAGUGCUAGCAUAGUCCCUUCAUAAUGUCCAGAAACUAUUACCAUAAUCCUCCUGGUAACAAGUUGCCCUCUAGCUCCCCAUACAGGAUUAUUACUAGAACUGAUUUGCAUGUUUUCUUUUUUUGACAAAAACUUGAAUUUUUUUGAUUAAAACCAGAAAUUUUUCCAUGAAAAUUUCCUGGUAGUCAAUAACCAUUUUCAAAUAAAGAAGUUUCAAUUUAAAUUUUUUGACCAACUCUAGUUAUUACAGUACACAACUUCCAUUGACAUCAGUGGCAGUUUUGUGUAUGUAUCUGAGGGCAGCGUCUGGUUUACCGGAUAUAUCUUAGUGUUUAUGAUGUGCAAGAACUUAUGUGUAUAUUGGAUACUAGCAUCUGGCGGGCAUUUUUACAAUUAAAUAUAGUAUGCAAAUUCAGUAAUGAACCUUAUUUCCAAGGAACAGCAGCCUCUUGCUUCUGUUAACACUUUGGCCACAUCUUUUUCCUUUGCAAGUUUCUGCAGAUUUGAAAGAGAAGUUAAGAUGUACACCCUUUUCAUGUGCUAUUCCCAACUUACUGUCAGUGUUAUGGACAUCUGCCAAGAAAUUACAGUUGAGCAAACUAAAACCAUGGGAGAAGUUUGGUAUCAUGUAACACUUUAUUCCACAUUAUACUUGAUACCUCUUUUGAACAAGCGUACCUUUACUCUGAAGAGUCUUGUGCAUGAAAACAGGAUGGGACUUUAAUGACAACAUUGCAUCACAGUUUAAAUCUUCCUAUUGGUCAGAAACUGAGCAUCAACCUGAACAGAAUUGGGAAGUUUUAGAUUCAACUGGAAUUUGAAUGUCUAAGUUUGGAGAUCUGUAUUUUGGUUCUGACAGCUCUGGAAAUUAUUGGCCUGAUUAUCUCAUUUACACUGAUGUAAAUCAGUCAAGAGCGUAACACUGAUGUAGAACCAGUGUGAGAGGAAAAUCAGGCGCAAUGUAUCUGCAUCAGCAGUUUAGAUCCAGGGUUUUGGUCUUAGCACAUUUUUUGAAUGAAUCUGUUGAACCUUG